rnacentral:rRNA from 1 species
UACGAAGGGGGCUAGCGUUGCUCGGAAUGACUGGGCGUAAAGAGCUCGUAGGCGGCUCGUCGCGUCGACCGUGAAAACCCACAGCUUAACUGUGGGCUUGCGGUUGAUACGGGCGGGCUAGAGUUCGGUAGGGGAGACUGGAAUUUCUGGUGUAGCGGUGAAAAUGCGCGAUAUCAGGAGGAAACACCGGUGGGCAAAGGCGGGUCUCUGGGCCGGAACUGACGCUGAGGAGCGAAAGCGUGGGGA